rnacentral:tRNA from 1 species
GUCGAUAUAGUGUAAUUAGCAUAGUAAUUUUUCGUAUUGCUGGUUUCUAUUAAUAGAAUUUCGAUA